rnacentral:rRNA from 1 species
GUGCACCAGUCGCGAAUUUUCACAAUGGGGGAAACCCUGAUGGAGCGACGCCGCGUGGAGGAUGAAGGCGUUUUCGUCGUAAACUCCUGUCAAACGGGAACAAGAAAGUGAUAGUACCGUUAGAGGAAGAGGCGGCUAACUCUGUGCCAGCAGCCGCGGUAAUACAGAGGCCUCAAGCGUUGUUCGGAUUCAUUGGGCGUAAAGGGUGCGUAGGUGGCUUGGUAAGUUGAAGGUGAAAUCUCGGGGCUUAACUCCGAAACUGCCUUCAAUACUGCCGAGCUCGAGGAUUGUAGAGGAGAAUGGAAUUCACGGUGUAGCAGUGAAAUGCGUAGAUAUCGUGAGGAAGACCAGUGGCGAAGGCGAUUCUCUGGGCAAUUCCUGACACUGAGGCACGAAGGCUAGGGGAGCAAACGGGAUUAGAUACCCGUGUAGU